UUCACAGUAGCUCAGUGGUAGAGCUAUCGGCUGUUAACCGAUCGGUCGUAGGUUCGAGUCCUACCUGUGGAGCCA
rnacentral:tRNA from 3 species